rnacentral:pre_miRNA from 1 species
CAAAUACUCCCUACGUCCGAAAAUACUUGUCAUCAAAAUGGAUAAAAGGAAAUGUAUCUAGACGUAUUUUAGUUUUAGAUACAUCUCUUUUUAUCCAUUUUGAUGACAAGUAUUUUCGGACGGAGGGAGUAGAAA